UACGAAGGGGGCUAGCGUUGCUCGGAAUCACUGGGCGUAAAGCGCACGUAGGCGGAUCUUUAAGUCAGGGGUGAAAUCCCAAGGCUCAACCUUGGAACUGCCUUUGAUACUGGGGAUCUCGAGUCCGGAAGAGGUGAGUGGAACUGCGAGUGUAGAGGUGAAAUGCGUAGAUAUUGGGAGGAACACCAGUGGCGAAGGCGGCUCACUGGACCGGAACUGACGCUGAGGCGCGAAAGCGUGGGGAGCAAACAGG
rnacentral:rRNA from 1 species